rnacentral:tRNA from 1 species
GCCUCCGUAGUAUAGCGGCAGUAUAGGGGACUGUGGAUCCCUUGGCCGGGGUUCGAUUCCCCGCGGAGGCC